rnacentral:rRNA from 1 species
UACGAAGGGGGCUAGCGUUGCACGGAAUCACUGGGCGUAAAGGGCGCGCAGGCGGUCUUGAAAGUCAGGCGUGAAAGCCCCGGGCUUAACCUGGGAAUUGCGCUUGAUACUCUGAGACUGGAGUACGGGAGAGGAGAGUGGAAUUCCCAGUGUAGAGGUGAAAUUCGUAGAUAUUGAGAAGAACACCAGUGGCGAAGGCGGCUCUCUGGACCGUAACUGACGCUGAGGCGCGAAAGCGUGGGGAGCAAACAGG